UACAGAGGUUCCGAGCGUUGUUCGGAUUCAUUGGGCGUAAAGGGUGCGUAGGCGGUUUUCUAAGUUUGAUGUGAAAUCCCGGGGCUUAACCCUGGAAUUGCAUUGAAUACUGGGAGACUAGAGUACUGGAGAGGAAACUGGAAUUUACGGUGUAGCAGUGAAAUGCGUAGAGAUCGUAAGGAAGACCAGUGGCGAAGGCGAGUUUCUGGACAGUUACUGACGCUGAGGCACGAAGGCCAGGGGAGCAAACGGG
rnacentral:rRNA from 1 species